rnacentral:lncRNA from 1 species
UUGCAGUUUGUUUUAUGCCCUGGGGGCUUGUUCAAUUCUGCUACCUUUUUUCCCCCCAUAAACAGAGAGCAGAGUCCAUUAGCCACUGAAGAGCAUAUCACCGUUUCUGUCACCCCCUGUGAGCUUCCUGUUAACUUGACUUCUGUGGAAGAUUCAGUUUGAUAUCUCCUGGUGUUACGACUGGCAUUAAUUCAUAUUGCCGUAAUGAAAAAUUCUAAGGAGCAAAUAAAGGGCAUUUGGUCUUUGAAGCUGUGUUAUAUGCUAACUGCAGCCACACUGUGGAAGUCACACCUCCCCAGAAAAAUAUACAAACUCG